rnacentral:rRNA from 1 species
UGGGGAAUUUUGGACAAUGGGCGCAAGCCUGAUCCAGCCAUGCCGCGUGCAGGAUGAAGGCCUUCGGGUUGUAAACUGCUUUUGUACGGAACGAAAAGGUGCCUUCUAAUAAAGGGCGCUCAUGACGGUACCGUAACAAUAAGCACCGGCUACCUACGUCCCACCAGCCGCGGUAAUACGUAGGGUGCAAGCGUUAAUCGGAAUUACUGGGCGUAAAGCGAGCGCAGGCGGUUUUGUAAGACAGAGGUGAAAUCCCCGGGCGCAACCUGGGAACUGCCUUUGUGACUGCAAGGCUGGAGUGCGGCAGAGGGGGAUGGAAUUCCGCGUGUAGCAGUGAAAUGCGUAGAUAUGCGGAGGAGCACCGAUGGCGAAGGCAAUCCCCUGGGCCUGCACUGACGCUCAUGCACGUAAGCGUGGGGAGCAAACA